rnacentral:rRNA from 1 species
UACAGAGGGGGCAAGCGUUAUUCGGAAUUAUUGGGCGUAAAGGGCGCGUAGGCGGCUUGGCAAGUGGAUGGUGAAAUCCCUCGGCUUAACCGAGGAACUGCGUCCAAGACUGGGAGGCUUGAAUCCGGGAGAGGGAUGCGGAAUUCCAGGUGUAGCGGUGAAAUGCGUAGAUAUCUGGAGGAACACCGAUGGCGAAGGCAGGUCUCUGGGCCGCAACUGACGCUGAGGAGCGAAAGCAUGGGGAGCGAACAGG